AUUGAACGCUGGCGGCAGGCCUAACACAUGCAAGUCGAACGGAUGAAGGGAGCUUGCUCCUGGAUUCAGCGGCGGACGGGUGAGUAAUGCCUAGGAAUCUGCCUGGUAGUGGGGGAUAACGUCCGGAAACGGGCGCUAAUACCGCAUACGUCCUGAGGGAGAAAGUGGGGGAUCUUCGGACCUCACGCUAUCAUAUGAGCCUAGGUCGGAUUAGCUAGUUGGUGGGGUAAAGGCCUACCAAGGCGACGAUCCGUAACUGGUCUGAGAGGAUGAUCAGUCACACUGGAACUGAGACACGGUCCAGACUCCUACGGGAGGCAGAAGUGGGGAAUAUUGGAAAAUGGGCGAAAGCCUGAUCCAGCCAUGCCGCGUGUGGGAAGAAGGUCUUCGGAUUGUAAAGCACUUUAAGUUGGGAGGAAGGGCAGUAAGUUAAUACCUUGCUGUUUUGACGUUACCAACAGAAUAAGCACCGGCUAACUUCGUG
rnacentral:rRNA from 1 species